GCCAGAGUGAUCUCUGCAUGUCUGUGGGUGUCUGAGGGUGAACCUAAAGGCCCUGCCAGUGUCCUGUUAGGUAAAUCUUCAUCACAAGAUGCCUUUCACACCUCUGAUCAGCUGGGAGAAUUCUUUUAUUAAGUCUAAUUACUACAAGUGUUCCACACCAAAGCUCCAUAAUCCCAUUAAUUCAAUAAAAUGCCUUUCUGUAUGAGCACAGAUCUAUUCACAGUCACUAUAAAGAAGCAGAGAAGGUAUUAUAAAACUAUAGAUAAAAAAGGAUAAAAGGCACAGAGAAAGUCACUUUGCCUGCAGUUAGAUUAUUUUGAAAGUCUAGAAAGAGAUUUCAGGGGGCCUAGACGUUGAGAAAUGUGGGGAAUCUUGGAUUCUUUUGAAGAAUCUUCAAUCCUUUUGAUUUUGAUGCCAAUGUGUAUUUUCUUCUUAUUGGUCAUUAUUAUUUUAGGAGAAUGUUGGAGACCUGUUACAGCUGGAGUUGUGAGUUAUUGCAAGAUUAGAGCAACGUGCACAUUCUGGAUAUUUAAUGGGGAACCAAAAAGACAACUUAAAUUACAGGUCUUCUUGUAAUUUUAACACCAGCAUUUCUCUUGCAAGUAGAAUUGCAGGAUUGAUGUUCCCUGUCAGGAGGAAAGGCAUGUGCUGCCACUUCAGGGGACACAGCAGGGCUGGCAGAGCUCUGACCUCCCCUCCUGCCCUCAGCCUUUGGUUUCGCUGCUAACUCAAUUAAGCCCUGCCUAAUUGGGGUGCCCGAUGGAGGGAGUUUCUGCAGGGCCGGGUUUGUGACAGCACAAGGGUUUCCAGCAUUUGUGCCAAACUGAGGUUCCCCAUUUGCUGCUCCCAGAGCUCCCAGUCUGGGGUGCUGAGCUCAGCACAGCCCAGCGAGCAGAGCUGGGACAGGGGCACGAGGAGCUGGAGCUCAAUCAGUUUCUGCCUUCCCUUGAUGAAACCCACCCACACAGAAGCAGAACCAAUUUCCAUCCUGGGACUGAGAAGUGAUUGGGUUUUUGUGGUAAGUGGCCAAUUUCUGAGGAGGAAAAAAAAGUUUUUUCUCAAAAUUAUAUCAUUUUUUUUCCACCUGAAAACCAAACACGACUCAGGAGUUUUCAGUCUGUAUUCAACAGAUAUUUAACAGAUUAAUUUUAUAGAGAACUUGAGUGGGUAACAGUACCAUUUAACUACUUUUGAUGCAAUUUCUCUAGGAAUUAAGCUGUGCAAUCCUGGCUCUCCAAACUCACCUUGAGCCUGCCUGGGAGCUGAUCUCACCAUGACUAGCUGCAGGUAAGCCAGGAGUUGUUCUUGAGAGCCACAAGAUUAUAUUUUGCUAAUUUAUUUUACCCAAUUUUCUAACUGGGGAGAUGAAGUACAACAAAACUA
rnacentral:lncRNA from 1 species